CGAGUUUACGAGCAGCUUUUGUGCGCGUUGCAGCGUUAUUACAGCGGCGUCGUUCUCUUCGGUGUAGUACAGUCAUGUUUCAGUGAAGAGAUUUAUGUGUCCCGGAUGGAUUCGGGAAGGCGCCGAAGAGGGAGGUGGCCGACGCAUCUGCCCCUCUCAGAAUUAUCUGCGUCAUCAAUUGCUGCGAGCGCAACCUUGUCGCGGUCAUUAUUAAAACGGCAAUUAACCAUCACGAACGGAAAAAUCACGAUGUGCGUGCAUGCGUGAGCCACGCGCACGAGAUUUUGCUUGAAAAAUCCCUUCGUUAUCUACCGCUUGUGAUGACCCGUUUGCACGCAUAACUCGCCUCUCAACCCGCCGCCAUAAACGAAACUCGCAGGUGUCCUCGAUGAAGAAGUUAUCUCCCUCACCGGGGCUGAUAAUAAAUAAUUCUUCCGCCUCGUUUGUGCUUCCACGCAAAUUAUUCUCGCUUUAUCAAGAUCGCGCCGCCGUAAAGGCAAGAUAGCACGCCGUAAAGGUAAGAUAGCACGCCUGCGAGAAAAAGGGAGUUCGAUUUAUUAUCCUCAAGAAGAUGAUAUUAUCCUUGUCGGAAUAAACAAAGGAGUACAAAUGCGUACGAUAAAACGUAACAACAACAGCCAUCAGGCGUAAGAGGUCAAAGUAUUAACAACUGUUAAAUUAACGUCCAAAUCAGAUUAAUGAAGAUCGUAAAGGAGCACAAGCGUUCAUUUGACACAAAAGCACGGAUUGCGUACAAAGUAUUAAUUUAACGAUUGUUGCAACGAGAAACGCAACGAGAUCGUGAUGCGCUUCACUGAUUGCGGCACGAUUAAUAACGCAGCGCGAAUCCAAGCACGACAAAAUGUGUCUAUACGGAAAUUUACUGUUCAAAGUCUGCGUUCCGUUGCUGCUCACAAAGCGCAUCUACCAAUAUUUACCAUCCAGCCACCAUUACAUUGUGCGAUCUCUUGGAUGUCGAUCGACAUGGGUCGAUUUUUUUCCGAUCAAUGUGACCUGCGGAAUGCAACAUCGACGGCCGACGGGCGCAAUGUCCUCUCAACCCUUUUUUCGUAUUCUCACCCCCGCAGCUGACGAGCUGACGGGAUACCACCUGACGGUUACCACCCGGGACAGCUGUUCUCUCCCCUUCGCGGAGCCCGCGUGCAGCACCACCUCCCUCCCCCGUUCUCCCGACACCGGCAGACCCAGUGCGUCCAAAAAACAGAGACGAUUUCACGUGGUGAAAAAAAAGUCAAAAAACCACAGGCCCCGUCCCGAGCGGCAGGAUGUGCCGCGGUGGGGACGACAGAGGAGCCGCAACCAUCAGCGACGGUACCGCACGGGAACGCGUCGUCAUCAUCUCGGCGCGUUAUCAUUAUCGCCUAUCAAUUAAUCGACGUGAAGUAACGAAUCUUACAUAACGCUAAAUGUGCAUAAAUAUUUAAUAUCUUUUCUAUAUCGCAACCUGUAGUGGAAUUGACUGGAGAUUUCAUAUAAAGAUGCGACG